rnacentral:misc_RNA from 1 species
AGCUGAAGGAAGUCUUCCCUCAACAG